GAUGAACGCUGGCGGCGUGCCUAAUACAUGCAAGUCGAGCGAACAGACGAGGAGCUUGCUCCUCUGACGUUAGCGGCGGACGGGUGAGUAACACGUGGAUAACCUACCUAUAAGACUGGGAUAACUUCGGGAAACCGGCGCUAAUACCGGAUAAUAUAUUGAACCGCAUGGUUCAAUAGUGAAAGACGGUUUUGCUGUCACUUCUAGAUGGAUCCGCGCCGCAUUAGCUAGUUGGUAAGGUAACGGCUUACCACGGCAACGAGGCGUAGCCGACCUGAGAGGGUGAUCGGCCACACGGGAACUGAGCCACGGUCCAGACUCCUACGGGAGGCAGCAGUAGGGAAUCUUCCGCAAUGGGCGAAAGCCUGACGGAGCAACGCCGCGUGAGUGAUGACGGUCUUCGGAUCGUAAAACUCUGUUAUUAGGGAAGAACAAAUGUGUAAGUAACUAUGCACGUCUUGACGGUACCUAAUCAGAAAGCCACGGCUAACUACGUG
rnacentral:rRNA from 1 species